rnacentral:lncRNA from 10 species
UGCAUUUCUCUAAUGAUCAGUGAUGAUAAGCUUUUUUUCUUGUUUGUUGGCUGCAUGAAUGUCUUCUUCUGAGAACUAUCUGUUCAUUUCCUUUGCAGAUAUAAAAAAGUAUAGCAGGUUACUUAUUUCUAAAUUACAAACGUAAAUAAAAGCAUUUCCAUUGGAAAAUACAAUUACCACAAGACUUACAGUUACAUGGCAUUUUUGGCUGUUAAUUGCAGUUAUAAAGUAAUUCAUUAAUAGGUAAUUUAAAAAUUUUUUUCUAAUCUCUCUUUCCUGUCAUUUGUGAUAUAACAUUACAGUAACAUUUUUCAUCUAAUUAUAAUAAAAUGUCCUGCUCUUAAACAGCCCUACAUCUCUAUCAUGAAAAGCAGAACCCAAGAUUUAUGGCAUUUACCAUAUUAUUUAUUCGUUUAUUUUGCUUCACUCAAUUAAAUGGAAACUUCUACUAUAGGACUAACUAUAAAAAUUAUGUAUUUUGAAGUUUUUCUAUUACCUAAUAUAUAAAUCCUACUACAACUCUUUUUAUGAUACAAAAGGCAUGAGAAUUUUACUGUUGUUAAUGAUUGUCAAUUCUGUUGCAAGUACAAAAUAAAAAAGGGUUCUAAGAAAUUGGUCUUCUUUUACUAACACAUAAACUGAUAGAUAAACGAACAUAGAUAAUCAAUAUACAAUUAAUGGUUAUGAAAAACAUAUUUCCCAAGUAACACAUCAAUAAAAAUUUGGAACAGUAAACUCUUUCUUUUCUGCCAUAACACAAAUGAAUGAAAAUGAGUUAAACAAAUUAGUAAGAUUGAGAUGACUAACUCUUAUACAGUAUAUGCUUUGCAUUAUAACAGCACUGUUUUAAAUGAUGGAAAGGUCAAUAAAAAAGUAAUAAAAUAGUUUCCUAUUAAGAAGAAAGUAAAUUUUUAAAAAUAAACCUUUAUAAUAAUAUAUUUACCAAGAGAGAAUUUAUCAGUAUCUUCUUGUAAAAUUUGAACUCCUGGUUUAAGUUAAAUGUAGAAUUAAUAAUUAAGAAAGUAGAUAUUAGGUAUCUAGACAAGGAAAUAAAAAGAGUUAAUUGAGGUCCCACCAUCAGAGAGGAUGUAAUACAUUGCCAUAUUCCACAUAAUUUACUUUGCGUGAUGAUUGCUGGUGUUAAUUCAUAGGAAUUGAGAUCUGGAAGUCAUCUUCAGAUCCCGAGUACAAAAUUGUACACAUUACAGCAUCAGGGCAAAUAACUAAUGCAUGCGGGGCUUAAAACCUAGAUGAUGGGUUGAUAGGUGCAGCAAACCACCAUGGCACACGUUUACCAAUGCAACAAAUCUGCAUGUUCUGCACACGUAUCCCAGAACUUAAAGUAAAAUAGGAAAGUAAAAUAAAAUAAA